UACGAAGGGGGCUAGCGUUGUUCGGAAUUACUGGGCGUAAAGCGCGCGCAGGCGGCUAUCCAAGUCAGUGGUGAAAGCCCGGAGCUCAACUCCGGAACUGCCAUUGAAACUGUUUAGCUUGAGGAUGAGAGAGGUGAGUGGAAUUCCCAGUGUAGAGGUGAAAUUCGUAGAUAUUGGGAAGAACACCGGUGGCGAAGGCGGCUCACUGGCUCAUUACUGACGCUCAGGCGCGAUAGCGUGGGGAUCAAAUAGG
rnacentral:rRNA from 1 species